AAAUAAUCAGCUCUAUACAAGAAGAAAAGGGUACUCGUGAGAUUUUCUUUAGUCUAUAGCAGAUUUUCAACAGAGCAGAACACCUAAUAAAAAUUCUAAAAACACAGAGUAAAAAGAAAGAAUUGCAAUAAAACAUGUCCUUGUUAAAACGUUUCGAUGAUGAAGAGCGAGAAUCGACCUAUGGUCGUGUCUAUGCAGUAUCUGGUCCCGUGGUAACUGCUGAAUGUAUGUCGGGUUCUGCUAUGUACGAAUUAGUGCGUGUAGGCUACUAUGAGCUGGUGGGAGAAAUUAUUCGUUUAGAGGGUGAUAUGGCCACUAUACAGGUGUAUGAAGAAACUUCUGGUGUAACAGUAGGUGAUCCGGUUUUAAGAACCGGCAAACCUUUAUCUGUAGAACUGGGUCCUGGCAUUAUGGGCAGUAUAUUCGAUGGUAUUCAAAGACCUUUAAAGGAUAUUGGUGAAAUGACCAGUUCUAUCUAUAUACCCAAGGGUGUUAAUGUACCGGCUUUAUCACGUACCGUAUCGUGGGAAUUUAGUCCCACAAAUGUUAAGAUUGGUUCUCAUAUAACUGGAGGCGAUUUGUUUGGUGUAGUUCAAGAGAAUACUUUAGUAAAACAUCGUAUGAUUGUGGCUCCCAGGGCUAGGGGUACUGUUAAAUAUCUUGCCCCUCCCGGUAACUAUACCGUCGAGGAUGUUGUAAUGGAAACUGAGUUUGAUGGAGAGAUUACUAAACAUACAAUGUUGCAAGUAUGGCCUGUACGUCAACCAAGACCUUGUACCGAAAAAUUGCCUGCUAAUCAUCCUUUGUUUACGGGUCAACGUGUUUUGGAUUCAUUGUUCCCUUGUGUACAAGGUGGUACUACGGCUAUUCCAGGUGCUUUUGGUUGUGGCAAAACUGUUAUUUCACAGGCUCUUUCGAAAUACUCCAAUUCGGAUGUGAUUAUUUAUGUGGGCUGCGGAGAACGUGGCAAUGAAAUGUCUGAGGUCUUAAGAGAUUUCCCUGAGCUAACUUGUGAAAUCGAUGGUGUUACCGAAUCCAUUAUGAAACGUACAGCAUUGGUGGCAAAUACCUCUAACAUGCCGGUAGCUGCUCGUGAAGCCUCUAUUUAUACGGGCAUAACAUUAUCCGAAUAUUUCCGUGAUAUGGGCUAUAAUGUAGCCAUGAUGGCUGAUUCUACUUCACGUUGGGCUGAAGCUCUUCGUGAAAUUUCUGGACGUUUAGCUGAAAUGCCUGCCGAUUCUGGUUAUCCUGCCUAUUUGGGUGCCCGUCUAGCUACUUUCUAUGAACGAGCUGGACGUGUUAAAUGUUUGGGUAAUCCUGAACGUGAGGGUUCAGUUUCUAUUGUGGGUGCUGUAUCACCACCCGGUGGUGAUUUCUCUGAUCCUGUUACCUCUGCUACUUUGGGUAUUGUACAAGUGUUCUGGGGUCUAGAUAAAAAAUUGGCUCAACGUAAACAUUUUCCCUCUAUCAAUUGGUUGAUUUCUUAUUCGAAAUAUAUGAGAGCUUUAGAUGAAUACUAUGACAAAAAUUUCCCCGAAUUUGUGCCACUACGUACUAAAGUUAAGGAAAUUCUACAAGAGGAAGAAGAUCUCUCGGAAAUUGUACAAUUGGUGGGUAAAGCUUCUUUAGCUGAAACCGAUAAAAUCACUUUGGAAGUGGCUAAGUUGUUGAAAGAUGAUUUCUUGCAACAAAACUCCUAUUCACCCUAUGACCGUGUAUGUCCCUUUUACAAAACUGUGGGCAUGUUAAGAAAUAUGAUUACUUUCUAUGAACUAGCCAGACAUGCUGUAGAAUCAACAGCUCAAUCAGAUAAUAAAGUAACCUGGAAUACUAUAAGAGAAUCAAUGGGCAAUAUUAUGUAUCAAUUGUCCUCUAUGAAGUUUAAGGAUCCUGUUAAAGAUGGUGAAAGUAAAAUUAAAACUGAUUUUGAACAAUUACAUGAGGAUAUGCAGCAGGCUUUUAGAAAUCUAGAGGAUUAAACAGCAACUAAUGUUUUUGUUUGUUCUCCCCUCCCUUUUUGAAAGAGGUGUCAUUUUGAAAAAUGCAAAAAAACAAAACAAAACCUGAACAAUAAUAGCGAAUAAUAUAAACCAAUUCUAUUGGUUAAUUAUCUAUUUAAACAUUAAACUAAAAAAAACUAUACAUACGUACAUUAUUAUGUACAGCCAUAAAUAUUAGUAAAAUAUAUAAAUAAUAAUGUUUGAAAAUUGUGUAAUUUUUUUUAUUAUUUUCUGUGUAACAUGUUAUUAUUUUUUCUAACUAUUCGUGUGUUGCUUGUUCUGAAAACGUAAUAAAAUUAAUAAAUCUUUAAUGUAAA